CCUUCAGUAGCUCAGUCAGCUAGAGCAUGGUGCUCUUAAUGCCAUGGUUGCAGGUUUGAUCCCCAUAUGGAACA